CUGCUUCAGUCUCCUUUGUCUUCACAUCAGUUAUUUGUAUUGAUUGUGACAUAAAAAACAAAUUAAGAGAAUUUCUGCAAAACACGUUUUUGAGGCUUAAGUUUUGACAGAAAAAAUAAUUACAGCAAGAAAGAAAAGCAGAAAACGUUUGAUUUUCAUCUGCUGGGUUUUAUAUUCUGUGCCCUGAACACAGUUCUAGGUCUGGUUCUGCUUGGUUCUAGGUCUGGUUGUGGUUGGUUAUAGGUCUGGUUGUGGUUGGUUAUAGAUCUGUUCUGCUUGGUUCUAGGUCUGGUUCUGCUUGGUUCUAGGUCUGGUUGUGGUUGGUUAUAGGUCUGGUUCUGGUUGGUUAUAGAUCUGGUUCUGCUUGGUUCUAGGUCUGGUUGUGGUUGGUUAUAGGUCUGGUUCUGGUUGGUUAUAGGUCUGGUUCUGGUUGGUUAUAGAUCUGGUUCUGCUUGGUUCUAGGUCUGGUUGUGGUUGGUUAUAGGUCUGGUUCUGGUUGGUUAUAGAUCUGGUUCUGCUUGGUUCUAGGUCUGGUUCUGGUUGGUUAUAGAUCUGGUUCUGCUUGGUUCUAGGUCUGGUUCUGGUUGGUUAUAGGUCUGGUUGUGGUUGGUUAUAGAUCUGGUUCUGCUUGGUUCUAGGUCUGGUUCUGGUUGGUUUCUAUGUCUGGUUCUGGUUAGUGAAAUGACACAUUGAGGUUCUGAA